UGGAAGAAGAGCAGACCGUCACCUGCAGGCAGCAGUUGUGUGAUGGAGUGGGGUCAAUCCCUGACGUGCAGCCGAAGAGGAGGUGUCUGCUGACCCGGACGGAUCCCAACUGCAGUCAAGUAGAGAAGAGGAGGAUGCACAGCAAACAGCAGAGCCCAGCAGAGCCCAGCAGAAGUCCAGGAUCCAAUUCCGCAACCAGGAAGCCUAAUAGAGAAGCUUUUUGAAUUUAUUUCCUUCUGUCUCUUCUUCUCUUCUCUGUCUCCUAAACACUUCCCCUAAUCUAACAUAACUAACCAUCCCCCCCUUCCCCUCAAUCCCCCUUUAUGCCCUUUCCUGAUCUAACUGUCUUCAUCUGCUAACUUGUUUUUCAACUUAUUUUGUUGUGAAUUUCUGUGCUUUG